CUGGGGACCUGCCAGUGUCAGGCACUGGGCAAGUGCUGGUCUUGGGCACAUAGUCCAGCGGUGCUGUUCUCUCUCCUGGAGACCAUCCUGCUCCAGCAGCCCCGUGAGCAUCGUCCUUCUAUGGAAAUAAACCCCUUGUCUUGGGCUCUGCAGCCCUCAAAGCCCUCCAGGCAAGGAGAUGUCCCCAGCCCCGAAGCUGUUGCCGGAGCCAGCGCCCGGCUCCCUCUCCCAUCCCCAGGCGGCACCAAAAUCUAAUGAAAGGAGGUGAACAAGCUUUCAAGACCUCAGAAGUUGUGCCGAAGGUUUUCAAUGGGAGGCUGCUGCACCGCUCCAGGGCAGGAUGAAGAUGAGCGUGGGGACGAGCCUUUGCCCCCCUGUUGGCAUUUCCACGCUCUUGCCUCACUGGUGUGAUUUCUGUCUCUUAAUUUCUGGGUCUCACGAGAGCAACGUGUUGCAUGGGUAUUUGUAUCCUCACAUCGGGAUGUGCCGGGUGCCCUCAGGGCCAGGCUGGGGAUGGGGCCAAGGCAAGGACUGAGCAGCUCCCUUGGAUGGAGAAGGAGAUGGGAACGGCUCUGGUCCUCAGUGCCAGUGGGAAGGGAUGUGCCAGCCUUGCGAAGAGAGAUGGGGAGAUGGAGAUAGAAAGCAGGGC